rnacentral:rRNA from 1 species
GACGAACGCUGGCGGCGUGCCUAAUACAUGCAAGUAGGACGCAGUUGCGAACGUGUGAGUAACGCGUCGUUAACUGCCUAUUAGAGGGGGAUCACUAUUGGAAACGAUUGCUAAUACCGCAUACUAGUAGAUGGACCUGCGUUGUAUUAGCUAGUAGGUAGGGUAAUGGCCUACCUAGGCGACGAUACAUAGCCGACCUGAGAGGGUGAUCGGCCAAACUGGGACUGAGACACGGCCCAGACUCCUACGGGAGGCAGCAGUAGGGAAUCUUCGGCAAUGGGGGGAAGCCUGACCGAGCAACGCCGCGUGAGUGAAGAAGGUUGUCGGAUCGUAAAGCUCUGUUGUUAAGGAAGCGGUACUUAACCAGAAAGGGACGGCUAACUACGUGCCAGCAGCCGCGGUAAUUC